GGGCCCGUAGCUUAGUCUGGUGGAGCGCCAGUCUUAUAAGCUGGUGGUCGUGAGUUCAAAUCUCGCCGGGCCCA
rnacentral:tRNA from 1 species